UGGGACUUUGCAAAUCGAGUCACUGUGUCUUA
rnacentral:piRNA from 1 species